rnacentral:rRNA from 1 species
GACGAACGCUGGCGGCGUGCUUAACACAUGCAAGUCGAACGGAAAGGCCCUGCUUUUGUGGGGUGCUCGAGUGGCGAACGGGUGAGUAACACGUGAGUAACCUGCCCUUGACUUUGGGAUAACUUCAGGAAACUGGGGCUAAUACCGGAUAGGAGCUCCUGCUGCAUGGUGGGGGUUGGAAAGUUUCGGCGGUUGGGGAUGGACUCGCGGCUUAUCAGCUUGUUGGUGGGGUAGUGGCUUACCAAGGCUUUGACGGGUAGCCGGCCUGAGAGGGUGACCGGCCACAUUGGGAAUGAGAUACGGCCCAGACCCCUACGGGGGGCAGCAGUGGGGAAUAUUGCACAAUGGGCGGAAGCCUGAUGCAGCAACGCCGCGGGCGGGAAGAAGGCCUUCGGGGUGUAAACCGCUUUCGCCUGGGACGAAGCGUGAGGGAAGGGAAUGGGUAAAGAAGCACCGGCUAACUACGUG